UGAAGCUGCAGGGAAACGUCCCCCACGGCCUCCACCAGGUCGGAGAAGAAGUCGGCGACCUCCCUGCAGUUCUCCAGCAGCACGUAGCGGUCCUGUCUGUUGGUGAAGUACGAGUCGCUCAGGUUGGCCCUGAAGACAGAGGUUCAAGGUGAUCCAACACCUGAUGUGGCCCCUCAGACUCCAAGAUGAAGGCGGAGCUCAAUGGUUGCCGUUUUGACAGUGUUGAUGACGUCGUCGCCGCUGUGGACCCUUUUCUCAGUAAAGUGCUGACUUGUAAUUUUCAGUCACCCGAAACAGAAAUACUUCUCAAUAUUACAACUCAGUGUAUCAUCAAAAUGAUCAGGGCUGUUAUUUUCCAGUAAAUCAGCUGCAUAAUGUUGCUACGCUAGUGAGCAUCUUCAGGUCCAUUUGUAGUUUGUUUUAGAGUUAGUCCAGGUUAACCCUCAGGAGGUUCUGAACGUUCAUGCCACUGAGAAAACUGAAAAUAAAUGUGGAAUUCAUGUUACGCUUUAAUGUUA